AACGAAGUAGCAAUACUUAGUGGCAGACGGGUGAGUAACAUGUAGGUAUCUUCCCUUUGGUGAGGAAUAACACGAGGAAACUUGUGCUAAUACCUCAUAAGUCUUUACGGAGAAAGCUUUAUGCGCCGAAGGAUGAGCCUGCACUUGAUUAGUUUGUUGGUGGGGUAACGGCCUACCAAGACUUUGAUCAAUAGCUGAUCUGAGAGGAUGAUCAGCCACAUUGGGACUGAGACACGGCCCAAACCCCUACGGGAGGCAGCAGUAGGGAAUAUUGCACAAUGGAGGAAACUCUGAUGCAGCGAUGCCGCGUGAGUGAAGAAGGCCUUUGGGUUGUAAAGCUCUUUCGUCGGGGAAGAAAAUGACUGUACCCGAAUAAGAAGGUCCGGCUAACUUCGUGCCAGCAGCCGCGGUAAUACGAAGGGACCUAGCGUAGUUCGGAAUUACUGGGCUUAAAGAGUUCGUAGGUGGUUAAAAAGUUGGUGGUGAAAUCCCAGAGCUUAACUCUGGAACUGCCAUCAAAACUUUUUAGCUAGAGUAUGAUAGAGGAAAGCAGAAUUUCUAGUGUAGAGGUGAAAUUCGUAGAUAUUAGAAAGAAUACCAAUUGCGAAGGCAGCUUUCUGGAUCAUUACUGACGCUGAGGAACGAAAGCAUGGGUAGCGAAGAGGAUUAG
rnacentral:rRNA from 1 species